UGGGAGGGCACCUCCCCCUCAAUGGGCAUCCAGCUCACCCUAAAGGCAACUGCUGCCAUGGAUAACAUCGAUUGGAAGAAGGCAGAAGAGAAGGACAUGAAAGGGUCACCUGUGAGCAAAAGGGAGAGAAAAAUAUUUAAUGAAGAAAUCCAGCAAAGGCAAAAGUGCAAGGCCAAGCCUCAGCCUGCGGAGAGCUGAGGAGUGGCACCGGCAGUCGCAGAAUUACAUAGGGAAAAUAAGAA